rnacentral:rRNA from 1 species
CACGUAGGGAGCAAGCGUUGUCCGGAUUUAUUGGGCGUAAAGAGCUCGUAGGCGGUGUGUCGCGUCGGCCGUGAAAACCUGCAGCUUAACUGUGGGCUUGCGGUCGAUACGGGCAUCACUGGAGUUCGGCAGGGGAGACUGGAAUUCCUGGUGUAGCGGUGAAAUGCGCAGAUAUCAGGAGGAACACCGGUGGCGAAGGCGGUUCUCUGGGAAUAUCCUGACGCUGAGGAGCGAAAGUGUGGGGAGCGAACAGG